GCCCAAUUAGUAUAGUGGUUGGUAAUUCACGUUGUGGCCGUGGCGGCACAGGUUCGAUUCCUGUUUUGGGCA
rnacentral:tRNA from 1 species